UUUUUGCGUAAGCGAUUGAAAUGGCAUCCUUUUUAUUACUUUAUUAAAUAGGCGUCAUUACGAGUGCAACGAAGUAAUCUCUUUCUAAUGAUGAGAUUGCCACAGUUUAUAAAAAAAUAAACUUCGCAAUGACUCUAAUAAAAAGAUAUAAUGGAAAGCGCGGUUUUGU
rnacentral:sRNA from 1 species